AAAUCAAAAAAGAAAUAAAAAGUUCAGCUGCUUUUGUUUGCUGCAGAACUUGAUUGGAAGAUUGUUUAUACGAUUUGAGCAUGCGUAAAAGGUGCUGGAAUUAAGCUACUGCAGAUUGAAGAAAGAGCAGGAAGAUUGUUCAUACUAGAUAAUUGAACAUGCGCUGAAAAAUUGCCGGAAUUAAGGUUGACCAAGACGACAAUUGUAAAAAAAGACUUUCUCCUUGUUGGACUUAAUUGAUUCAGAAAGAAAGGAAUUGUUGUUUCAAAUGUUAAAGGAGCAUGAUGAGAUUCUGGUUAUCAAAAUAAUAAAGAUCAUUCCAUUCUAUAGCAUUUCAAAUCGUCCUCCCAUAAUCCUUUUCUUGAAAAACACAAGCAUUGUCACAAAAAACAACAUUACAUGAUAGGUCUUUUGUGAGUUUUUGUAUGGAAAUUAGGCUAGUGGGCAAUUUGGGAAUAUGAAGGAUAUUUUGUAGGAUUAUAGUUGGGCUUAUCUGGACAUUUCCUAGACCCAUUAUAGUUAUAAGGGAACCUUCUGUUGGGGAUAUUUUCUUGUUGCUAGGAUAAGGUGAAUAAGUGUAAAAGUGUGUGGGUAAGGGUGUCAUGUGCUCGGUGGCUCCAGAAUCUAAUAUCCAAUAUUGGUUAGAUGGUUUAUCCGAAGCAUUAAAUUCAAGAGAAAAAUGAGACUUACCAAAUGGAAGUAGAGAAAGAGAUGUACAUGUGUAUGUUAGAGAUUUACAUGUUGGUUUAUCCAAUUGCUUGAGAAAAGAUCUCACCUUUUUUA